rnacentral:rRNA from 1 species
UACGUAGGGGGCGAGCGUUGUCCGGAUUUAUUGGGCGUAAAGAGCGUGUAGGCGGCCAGGUAGGUCUGCUGUGAAAACUCGAGGCUCAACCUCGAGACGUCGGCGGAAACCAUCUGGCUAGAGUCCGGAAGAGGAGAGUGGAAUUCCCAGUGUAGAGGUGAAAUUCGUAGAUAUUGGGAAGAACACCGGUGGCGAAGGCGGCGACCUGGUCCGUGACUGACGCUGAGGCGCGAAAGCGUGGGGAGCAAACAGG